UAAAAACAGGGAUUUCUAUGAAAAUAAGGGAUAUUUAAGGGGAAAAACAGGGAUUUCUAUGAAAAUAAGGGAUAUUUAAGUGGAAAAACAGGGAUUUCUAUGAAAAUAAGGGAUAUUUAAGGGGAAAAACAGGGAUUUCUAUGAAAAUAAGGGAUAUUUAAGGGAAAAAAACAGGGAUUUCUAUGAAAAUAAGGGAUAUUUAAGGGGAAAAACAGGGAUUUCUAUGAAAAUAAGCGAUAUUUAAGGUGAAAAACAGGGAUUUCUAUGAAAAUAAGGGAUAUUUAAGGGGAAAAACAGGGAUUUCUAUGAAAAUAAGCGAUAUUUAAGGUGAAAAACAGGGAUUUCUAUGAAAAUAAGGGAUAUUUAAGGUUAAAAACAGGGAUUUCUAUGAAAAUAAGGGAUAUUUAAGGGGAAAAACAGGGAUUUCUAUGAAAAUAAGCGAUAUUUAAGGUGAAAAACAGGGAUUUCUAUGAAAAUAAGGGAUAUUUAAGGGGAAAAACAGGGAUUUCUGGGAAAAUAAGGGAUAUUUAAGGGGAAAAACAGGGAUUUCUGGGAAAAUAAGGGAUAUUUAAGGUGAAAAACAGGGAUUUCUAUGAAAAUAAGGGAUAUUUAAGGUUAAAAACAGGGAUUUCUAUGAAAAUAAGGGAUAUUUCAGGGGAAAAACGGGGAUUUCUGGGAAAAUAAGGGAUAUUUAAGGUUAAAAACAGGGAUUUCUAUGAAAAUAAGGGAUAUUUAAGGUGAAAAACAGGGAUUUCUAUGAAAAUAAGGGAUAUUUAAGGUUAAGAACAGGGAUUUCUAUGAAAAUAAGGGAUAUUUAAGGUUAAAAACAGGGAUUUCUGGGAAAAUAAGGGAUAUUUAAGGUGAAAAACAGGGAUUUCUAUGAAAAUAAGGGAUAUUUAAGGUUAAAAACAGGGAUUUCUAUGAAAAUAAGGGAUAUUUCAGGGGAAAAACGGGGAUUUCUGGGAAAAUAAGGGAUAUUUAAGGUUAAAAACAGGGAUUUCUAUGAAAAUAAGGGAUAUUUAAGGUGAAAAACAGGGAUUUCUAUGAAAAUAAGGGAUAUUUAAGGGGAAAAACAGGGAUUUCUAUGAAAAUAAGGGAUAUUUAAGGUUAAGAACAGGGAUUUCUAUGAAAAUAAGGGAUAUUUAAGGUGAAAAACAGGGAUUUCUGGGAAAAUAAGGGAUAUUUAAGGGGAAAAACAGGGAUUUCUAUGAAAAUAAGGGAUAUUUAAGGGGAAAAACAGGGAUUUCUAUGAAAAUAAAGGAUAUUUAAGGUGAAAAACAGGGAUUUCUAUGAAAAUAAGGGAUAUUUAAGGUUAAAAACAGGGAUUUCUAUGAAAAUAAGGGAUAUUUAAGGGGAAAAACGGGGAUUUCUGGGAAAAUAAGGGAUAUUUAAGGUGAAAAACAGGGAUUUCUGGGAAAAUAAGGGAUAUUUAAGGGGAAAAACAGGGAUUUCUAUGAAAAUAAGGGAUAUUUAAGGUGAAAAACAGGUAUUUCUAUGAAAAUAAGGGAUAUUUAAGGUUAAAAACAGGGAUUUCUAUGAAAAUAAGGGAUAUUUAAGGUUAUAAACAGGCAUUUCUAUGAAAAUAAGGGAUAUUUAAGGUUAAAAACAGGCAUUUCUAUGAAAAUAAGGGAUAUUUAAGGGGAAAAACAGGGAUUUCUAUGAAAAUAAAGGAUAUUUAAGUGGAAAAACAGGGAUUUCUAUGAAAAUAAGGGAUAUUUAAGGUGAAAAACAGGGAUUUCUGGGAAAAUAAGGGAUAUUUAAGGUGAAAAACAGGGAUUUCUAUGAAAAUAAGGGAUAUUUAAGGUUAAAAACAGGGAUUUCUGGGAAAAUAAGGGAUAUUUAAGGGGAAAAACAGGGAUUUCUGUGAAAAUAAGGGAUAUUUAAGGUUAAAAACAGGGAUUUCUAUGAAAAUAAGGGAUAUUUAAGGUUAAAAACAGGGAUUUCUAUGAAAAUAAGGGAUAUUUAAGGUUAAAAACAGGGAUUUCUAUGAAAAUAAGGGAUAUUUAAGGUUAAAAACAGGGAUUUCUAUGAAAAUAAGGGAUAUUUAAGGUUAAAAAAAGGGAUUUCUGGGAAAAUAAGGGAUAUUUAAGGUUAAAAACAGGGAUUUCUAUGAAAAUAAGGGAUAUUUAAGGUGAAAAACAGGGAUUUCUAUGAAAAUAAGGGAUAUUUAAGGGGAAAAACAGGGAUUUCUGGGAAAAUAAGGGAUAUUUAAGGUGAAAAACAGGGAUUUCUGGGAAAAUAAGGGAUAUUUAAGGGGAAAAACAGGGAUUUCUAUGAAAAUAAGGGAUAUUUAAGGUGAAAAACAGGGAUUUCUGGGAAAAUAAGGGAUAUUUAAGGUUAAAAACAGGGAUUUCUAUGAAAAUAAGGGAUAUUUAAGGUUAAAAACAGGGAUUUCUAUGAAAAUAAGGGAUAUUUAAGGUUAAAAACAGGGAUUUCUGGGAAAAUAAGGGAUAUUUAAGGUGAAAAACAGGGAUUUCUAUGAAAAUAAGGGAUAUUUAAGGGGAAAAACAGGGAUUUCUAUGAAAAUAAGGGAUAUUUAAGGUGAAAAACAGGGAUUUCUGGGAAAAUAAGGGAUAUUUAAGGUUAAAAACAGGGAUUUCUAUGAAAAUAAGGGAUAUUUAAGGGGAAAAACAGGGAUUUCUAUGAAAAUAAGGGAUAUUUAAGGGGAAAAACAGGGAUUUCUAUGAAAAUAAGGGAUAUUUAAGGGGAAAAACAGGGAUUUCUGGGAAAAUAAGGGAUAUUUAAGGUGAAAAACAGGGAUUUCUAUGAAAAUAAGGGAUAUUUAAGGUGAAAAACAGGGAUUUCUAUGAAAAUAAGGGAUAUUUAAGGUGAAAAACAGGGAUUUCUAUGAAAAUAAGGGAUGUUUAAGGGGAAAAACAGGGAUUUCUGGGAAAAUAAGGGAUAUUUAAGGUGAAAAACAGGGAUUUCUAUGAAAAUAAGGGAUAUUUAAGGGGAAAAACAGGGAUUUCUGGGAAAAUAAGGGAUAUUUAAGGUUAAAAACAGGGAUUUCUAUGAAAAUAAGGGAUAUUUAAGGUUAAAAACAGGGAUUUCUGUGAAAAUAAGGGAUAUUUAAGGGGAAAAACAGGGAUUUCUAUGAAAAUAAGGGAUAUUUAAGGUGAAAAACAGGGAUUUCUGGGAAAAUAAGGGAUAUUUAAGGGGAAAAACAGGGAUUUCUAUGAAAAUAAGGGAUAUUUAAGGGGAAAAAGAGGGAUUUCGAUGAAAAUAAGGGAUAUUUAAGGUGAAAAACAGGGAUUUCUGGGAAAAUAAGGGAUAUUUAAGGGGAAAAACAGGGAUUUCUAUGAAAAUAAGGGAUAUUUUAGGGGAAAAACAGGGAUUUCUGGGAAAAUAAGGGAUAUUUAAGGUUAAAAACAGGUAUUUCUAUGAAAAUAAGCGAUAUUUUAGGUGAAAAACAGGGAUUUCUGUGAAAAUAAGGGAUAUUUAAAGUGGAAAACAGGGAUUUCUAUGAAAAUAAGGGAUAUUUAAGGUUAAAAACAGGGAUUUCUAUGAAAAUAAGGGAUAUUUAAGGGGAAAAACAGGGAUUUCUAUGAAAAUAAGGGAUAUUUAAGGGGAAAAACAGGGAUUUCUAUGAAAAUAAGGGAUAUUUAAGGUGAAAAACAGGGAUUUCUAUGAAAAUAAGGGAUAUUUAAGGGGAAAAACAGGGAUUUCUAUGAAAAUAAGGGAUAUUUAAGGUUAAAAACAGGGAUUUCUGGGAAAAUAAGGGAUAUUUAAGGUGAAAAACAGGGAUUUCUAUGAAAAUAAGGGAUAUUUAAGGGGAAAAACAGGGAUUUCUAUGAAAAUAAGGGAUAUUUAAGGGGAAAAACAGGGAUUUCUGGGAAAAUAAGGGAUAUUUAAGGUGAAAAACAGGGAUUUCUGGGAAAAUAAGGGAUAUUUAAGGUGAAAAACAGGGAUUUCUAUGAAAAUAAGGGAUAUUUAAGGGAAAAACAGGGAUUUCUUUGAAAAUAAGGGAUAUUUAAGGUUAAAAACAGGGAUUUCUGGGAAAAUAAGGGAUAUUUAAGGGGAAAAACAGGGAAUUCUGGGAAAAUAAGGGAUAUUUAAGGUGAAAAACAGGGAUUUCUGGGAAAAUAAGGGAUAUUUAAGGUUAAAAACAGGGAUUUCUAUGAAAAUAAGGGAUAUUUAAGGUUAAAAACAGGGAUUUCUGGGAAAAUAAGGGAUAUUUAAGGGGAAAAACAGGGAUUUCUAUGAAAAUAAGGGAUAUUUAAGGUUAAAAACAGGGAUUUCUGGGAAAAUAAGGGAUAUUUAAGGGGAAAAACAGGGAUUUCUAUGAAAAUAAGGGAUAUUUAAGGUUAAAAACAGGGAUUUCUAUGAAAAUAAGGGAUAUUUAAGGUUAAAAACAGGGAUUUCUAUGAAAAUAAGGGAUAUUUAAGGUGAAAAACAGGGAUAUCUGUGAAAAUAAGGGAUAUUUAAGGUGAAAAACAGGGAUUUCUAUGAAAAUAAGGGAUAUUUAAGGUUAAAAACGGGGAUUUCUAUGAAAAUAAGGGAUA